rfam:Acetobacteraceae bacterium AT-5844 genomic scaffold Scfld94, whole genome shotgun sequence.
AACAAGGGGACAUCCGCGAUCGCCCCGUGAGGCUUCGGCUGAAGCAUCGCGUCCGACACUCCACAAUGAUGGAGGGGACGCUCAUG